AAUGAACGCUGGCGGCAGGCCUAACACAUGCAAGUCGAACGAGGCAGCAAUGCCUAGUGGCGGACGGGUGAGUAACGCGUGGGAACGUGCCCCUUGGUACGGAAUAGCCCUGGGAAACUGGGAGUAAUACCGUAUGAGCUCGAAAGAGGAAAGAUUUAUCGCCAAGGGAUCGGCCCGCGUUGGAUUAGGUAGUUGGUGGGGUAAUGGCCUACCAAGCCGACGAUCCAUAGCUGGUUUGAGAGGAUGAUCAGCCACACUGGGACUGAGACACGGCCCAGACUCCUACGGGAGGCAGCAGUGGGGAAUCUUAGACAAUGGGGGAAACCCUGAUCUAGCCAUGCCGCGUGAUCGAUGAAGGCCUUAGGGUUGUAAAGAUCUUUCAGAUGGGAAGAUAAUGACGGUACCAUCAGAAGAAGCCCCGGCUAACUCCGUGCCAGCAGCCGCAGUAAUAC
rnacentral:rRNA from 1 species